CGGACGGGUGAGUAAUGUCUGGGAAACUGCCUGAUGGAGGGGGAUAACUACUGGAAACGGUAGCUAAUACCGCAUAACGUCGCAAGACCAAAGAGGGGGACCCUCGGGCCUCUUGCCAUCGGAUGUGCCCAGAUGGGAUUAGCUUGUUGGUGGGGUAACGGCUCACCUAGGCGACGAUCCCUAGCUGGUCUGAGAGGAUGACCAGCCACACUGGAACUGAGACACGGUCCAG
rnacentral:rRNA from 1 species